CUUCAGGAAGGAUGAUUCUCCACACACACCAAGAGCUGCUCUGGGAAUAAGACAAUACUUAGAAGACAAUCAACUGUACUUUACUUUAAGAGAAAGUUACAAGUGUUUUAUAUUUUUGAUAUAAAGGAUAUUUUUUGAUAUAGGAGUGGGAGUCGACCCUGUUGAAGCGGUGAAAGCAGUCACCCGACAGCCAGCCAGACAUGGGCUGCUGCUUCAGCGGGUCUGAGGGGGAAGGAGAGGGGGACACGAAGCACGGGGGGGACAGCGGCUGUAAGACGUGCUGUCUGAAGACCAGGAACUGCGUGAUGAGUGGAGAGUGUGGGCGGGCUCUUCAGAUUGCCAACGUCUGUGCCAUGUGUGGAAUGUGCAUCCGCAUGUUUGUCUAGCUGUGACUCCAUGAGGUCAGACCUGCUCACAUUCCCAUGGCAGCUGUACAGAGAGCUGUGAACAAUAGGACCGGUAUGCCACUCUCCCAUGGGUGGAUCACCUGGGAUCCAGCCAUCUAACAAGACACACACCCUGGACCCGCCCUGUGCCUUUACAGCCAAUAGAAUCAGCACCCUGGAGCCAAGCAGGAAGGCAUGUGACACGUAUCCUGUAAUUCAAGUCCUUGUGGCAAUAAUACUUGUUUUCCUUUUCUGUUGUAAAACAUCUUGAAACAGUGUGCCCUAAUGAACAUGACCCUGUCCUGCUGCUGUGUAUGCAGAGCUCCAGCUGUGGAGGGAACAGGCACUAGGCUAGGCCCAGCAGGCAGUAUGUAUGCACAAACACGAACACAUUGUUCAUGCCACCAAGUGGCCUUUUGAAAACAGGAUGAUCACGCAGGAAGUAGGUGGAAACGUAUUCAUACCAGCGAAGAGACCGUACCACCGGGAACACUCUGCUGUGAGGGGAAAUGAUGUUUGUUGUGGAGAGAGGAGGGGCACCGAUAUGGAGGGGGGCAGAGAGAGAUGAGAGAGGAGCUAGAGACAACAUUCUUUUUCAUGCCAAAUUGUCAAUAUAACGGUGCUUAUAGGAUGACACCAGAAUGUACCAGGUAUGAAACCUGAUCAUCCUUAUCCUAACAGUGGCUUGGAUGGGAAAGGGCUCAUUGGCUGUGUCCCAGAUGUCACCUCUAUUCUGUUCAUAGUGCACUACUUCAUCCUUAUCCUAACACAGUGGCUUGGAUGGGAAAAGGGCUCAUAGGCUGUGUCCCAGAUGGCACCUCUAUUCUGUUCAUAGUGCACUACUUCAUCCUUAUCCUAACACAGUGGCUUGGAUGGGAAAAGGGCUCAUAGGCUGUGUCCCAGAUGGCACCUCUAUUCUGUUCAUAGUGCACUACUUCAUCCUUAUCCUAACACAGUGGCUUGGAUGGGAAAAGGGCUCAUAGGCUGUGUCCCAGAUGGCACCUCUAUUCUGUUCAUAGUGCACUACUUCAUCCUUAUCCUAACACAGUGGCUUGGAUGGGAAAAGGGCUCAUAGGCUGUGUCCCAGAUGGCACCUCUAUUCUGUUCAUAGUGCACUACUUCAUCCUUAUCCUAACACAGUGGCUUGGAUGGGAAAAGGGCUCAUAGGCUGUGUCCCAGAUGGCACCUCUAUUCUGUUCAUAGUGCACUACUUCAUCCUUAUCCUAACACAGUGGCUUGGAUGGGAAAAGGGCUCAUAGGCUGUGUCCCAGAUGGCACCUCUAUUCUGUUCAUAGUGCACUACUUCAUCCUUAUCCUAACACAGUGGCUUGGAUGGGAAAAGGGCUCAUAGGCUGUGUCCCAGGUGGCACCUCUAUUCUGUUCAUAGUGCACUACUUCAUCCUUAUCCUAACACAGUGGCUUGGAUGGGAAAAGGGCUCAUAGGCUGUGUCCCAGAUGGCACCUCUAUUCUGUUCAUAGUGCACUACUUCAUCCUUAUCCUAACACAGUGGCUUGGAUGGGAAAAGGGCUCAUAGGCUGUGUCCCAGGUGGCACCUCUAUUCUGUUCAUAGUGCACUACUUCUGAUAAGAGGAGGAAACCACUAGAUUAUAAACUGAGCGUGCAGAAACCAACCUUUGUGACAAACCAGUCACAGUGGAAUGAUGUCCGUGUCCUCAGAAAAUCAUUCCAUCUCUGAGUGUCCCAGAUGGCACCCUAUUCCCUUCAUAGUGCACUACUGCUGACCAGGGGGAAUAGUGUCCACAGGGAAUAGAGUGCCAGGCAGGUUGUGAGGAUACAGGCUAUACAGCCUCUCUCUUGUAUAUACAGAAUGUCUCUCUCUUGUAUAUACAGAAUGUCUCUCUCUUGUAUAUACAGAAUGUCUCUCUCUUGUAUAUACAGAAUGUCUCUCUCUUGUAUAUACAGAAUGUCUCUCUCUUGUAUAUACAGAAUGUCUCUCUCUUGUAUAUACAGAAUGUCUCUCUCUUGUAUAUACAGAAUGUCUCUCUCUUGUAUAUACAGAAUGUCUCUCUCCUGUAUAUACAGUACGUCUCUCUCUCUCUCCUGUGUAUAUACGGUAUCUCUCUCCUGUGUAUAUACAGUACGUGUGUGUCUCUUCAUCGUUCUCAAGUGCGUAGAGUCCGAUACAGAACUGUGCCAUUCAUAGACUGGACUACUGUACCAUGUUGGCCUAUUCUUCACUGCUGAGGUGAAUCUGCCCUCUUCCAAACUUUGUAUUUAUCUGUAGAAAGUAUUUUUCAGCAAUACUCUUGUGCUCCUAGACAGUCCAAUACGCCAGAAAAGAGGUGCUUUUUUUAAUGAUUAAUUAGUUGUUUUUGUAUUUUUUUUUGAAAUGGUCUUUUUGGGGUGAAUUCUCUUCAUGAUGUCUAUUGGGAUCAUCAUUUUAUUGUGUCAGAAAAUACUUUAUAUACUGUAGGUGUCGUGGCUGGGGAAGAAACUAUUGGUACGGUUCAGUCUGCGUUCCCAAUGGCACCCUAUUCCCUGUGCAGUGCACUACUUCAGACCAGAGGCCUAUGCAUCCUGGCCUAAAGUUGUACACUGUAUAGAUAGUCGGAUGCAAUUUGGAACACAGUACUUUGUUGUAGUGAUGACCACACACCAUUUCUAUGUUGACAUUGUGUAAUGUAUUACUUAAUAAAGAACUACCAAGUGUA